AGUGAACGCUGGCGGUAGGCCUAACACAUGCAAGUCGAACGGCAGCACAGUAAGAGCUUGCUCUUACGGGUGGCGAGUGGCGGACGGGUGAGGAAUACAUCGGAAUCUACUUUUUCGUGGGGGAUAACGUAGGGAAACUUACGCUAAUACCGCAUACGACCUACGGGUGAAAGCAGGGGAUCUUGGGACCUUGCGCGAUUGAAUGAGCCGAUGUCGGAUUAGCUAGUUGGCGGGGUAAAGGCCCACCAAGGCGACGAUACGUAGCUGGUCUGAGAGGAUGAUCGGCCACACUGGAACUGAGACACGGUCCAGACUCCUACGGGAGGCAGCAGUAGGGAAUCUUGGACAAUGGGCGAAAGCCUGACGCAGCAACGCCGCGUGGGUGAUGAAGGCCUUCGGAUCGUAAAACUCUUUUAUUAGGGAAGAAAAAAAGUGUAAGAAACCCCGCCCGUCUUGACGGUACCUAAACAGAAAGCCCCGGCUAACUACGUG
rnacentral:rRNA from 1 species